rnacentral:lncRNA from 1 species
AUGCCCUCAUUUCCACUUCUUCUCCUCCUCAUCCUCCUUCUCCUCCUUCUACUUCUCUUCCUUUUAGUUCUCCUCCUCCUACUUCUCCUCCUCCUUUUCAUCCUUCUCUUCCUCCUUCUCCUCCUCCUCUCCCCCCCCCACUUCUCCUCCUCCCACUUCCCCUUCUUCUCUUCCUCCUCCUCCUACUUCUCUUCCCCCUCCUCCUCCUAUUUCUCCUCCUCCUUCUCUUCCCCCUCCUACUUCUCCUUCUUCUCUUCCUCCUCCUCCUCCUUCUCCUCCUCCCCCCACUUCUCCUUCUUCUCUUCCUCCUCCUCCUACUUCUCUUCCCCCUCCUCCUCCUAUUUCUCCUCCUCCUUCUCUUCUCCCUCCUACUUCUCCUUCUCUUCCCCCUCCUUCUUCUCUUCCUCCUCCUCUUCCCCCUCCUACUUCUCCUCCUUCUCUUCCCCCUCCCCCUCCUUCUUCUCUUCCUCCUCCUCUUCCCCCUCCUACUUCUCCUCCUUCUCUUCCCCCCCACUUCUCCUUCUUCUCUUCCUCCUCUUCCUUCUCUUCCCCCUCCUCCUCCUAUUUCUCCUCCUCCUUCUCUUCCCCCUCCUACUUCUCCUCCCCAUUCUCUUCCUCCUUCUACUUCUCGUCCUUCUUCUCUUCCUCCUCCUCCUAUUUCUCCUCCUCCUUCUCUCCCCCCCCCACUUCUCCUCCUCCCACUUCUCCUUCUUCUCUUCCCCCUCCUCCUCCUAUUUCUCCUCCUCCUUCUCUUCCCCCCCCCCCCACUUCUCCUUCUUCUCUUCCUCCUCCUACUUCUCCUCCCCAUUCUCUUCCUCCUUCUACUUCUCGUCCUUCUUCUCUUCCUCCUCCUCCUAUUUCUCCUCCUCCUUCUCUCCCCCCCCACUUCUCCUCCUCUCACUUCUCCUUCUUCUCUUCCCCCUCCUCCUCCUAUUUCUCCUCCUCCUUCUCUUCCCCCCCCCACUUCUCCUUCUUCUCUUCCUCCUCCUCCUUCUCUUCCCCCUCCUACUUCUCCUUCUUCUCUUCCUCCUCCUCCUUCUCUUCCCCCUCCUACUUCUCCUCCUCAUUCUCUUCCUUCUUCUACUUCUCGUCCUUCUUCUCUUCCUCCUCCUCCUAUUUCUCCUCCUCCUUCUCUCCCCCCCCCCCACUUCUCCUCCCCAUUCUCUUCCUCCUCCUACUUCUCGUCCUUCUUCUCUUCCUCCUCCUCCCGCGCUACGUUUCCUUUUGCGCGUUUCAUCAGCUCUACGGGAUGACGUGACGAAACACUUUAGGUGUAAACACCCAAAUCCACGCCAUAUUUAA